GACAGAGGGGGCAAGCGUUGCUCGGAAUUACUGGGCGUAAAGGGCGCGUAGGCGGGUUGGAAAGUCGGGCGUGAAAUCCCUCGGCUCAACUGAGGAUCGUCGAUCGAUACUGCCGUUCUUGAGGAUUGCAGAGGAGACUGGAAUUCCCGGUGUAGCGGUGAAAUGUGUAGAGAUCGGGAGGAACACCGGUGGCGAAGGCGGGUCUCUGGGCAAUUCCUGACGCUGAGGCGCGAAAGCGUGGGGAGCAAACAGG
rnacentral:rRNA from 1 species